CUAUUUUGUCCGUUUGUGGAAGACUAAACGAUGCGUUUGGCCAAAGGGUGUAGAACUCUCUUUUCUUUCUGGAACUCUCCGUAGUUCGUUUAUGUUCUCUCUCUCUGGAACUCUCUGUGUCUCUUCUCUCUCUCUUAUCUUCUUCUCCUUCUUUCUAAUAAACGUAUUUUUUUCUUUUUUCUUUUCCUCCCAAACCACCGAUUUGUACUGUGAUUCAACUCCUUCACAACCCAGCCUCAGCACCGAUCUCUCUCUACGAAUCCAGAUCAACAAAAAAAUUUGAAACCCAAGAACAUUUGCAGCUGAUCUGCAUGAGAGAAGAGCCAGAAAAAAAAAAUGGAGCUCAAAGCCUCAAACGUUGUUUGUGAUCUCGAUCUGUUGGUUGGUGGAUGUGCGAGAGAUAGACGAUUGCAGGUGUUCUUCUUUGCAAUUAUCUCUGCGCGUGAGAUUGAAAGUUUGGAUUUUUACUCAGAUUAGAUAAUUCUUGUAUGUUAAUAUUUGCUAUUAGGUGUUCUUUUGUCAUAUCCGUAAGUUUAAAUAACAACAUCGCCUUCUGAACUUUGAAAUAACAAGCAAGCAAGAAGGCCAAGCAAGUCGGUGAGAAAAUAUCUCUACUGGGUGAGCCAGUAAAUGGGUGAGACAAAAUUGAAAAGAUAGACCUGAGAGAGAAAAAAUAGAGUGAUUUAGUGAGAUGAAUGCGUGUGGCAGUGGGAUUUUUAUAGAAUUAGUGAGGCUUGGCACUGAGACAGAGGGAGAGAGGACUGGGGAUUUGUAAUGAAAAUGGAUGAUUGAGAUUUGAGAUAAUUGGAGCAAAGUAGAGAGGGUGGCUUUCGUGUUUUCUCUCAACUGGUAUUUUCUCUCUAAAUUUAUCUAUGGUUUGAUUGUCCUUUAAAGUAGCUUUGGAGUCUCGAGGUGGAGCCUCCUUCAUCAAUUCAGAGAAGUCACAUGGAGAAUAGUAGAUAUCCCUUUAUUAUUGUUGUCCUUAAGGUUUUUUUUAUAUUAACUUCAAUCAGUAUAUACCUGGAUAAACUUUUCAAUCAGUAUGUCUCAAUUGUUCGCUCCUAAACUUCCGUUCUGGCUUUGGGGGAGGUCAUUCUACAAGCAAUAUGCACAAGAUAUGGACUUACUAUCGGGGCCAAGUUCAUAUGGAUUGAUUAAACAUCAGUCCAUGCUUUGUCUUCAAAAAGGUAGAGAAUCACAUUGUUGGAGCUCCAUGUGGUGUGAUGGGCCAGAUAACUUAAGCAUGUGGUGAAGCCAACAAACUUCUUGUAGUUAUGUUCUAGCCUGCUGAGAUAUAUCAAAUUGCUUUCUUAGCUAGACAUGAUGACCACAGCCCAGUGCUUUCGUUGGUGCUGAUUAACAUCAUAAGUGCUUUCUCUAAGUAGCGAUAACUUAGACUCAUAUUCCAUGUUAAUGGUACUGUUGGAGCAAAGUAGAGAGGGUGGCUUUCGUGUUUUCUCUCAACAGGAAUGCUUUGGUCUGCAGGGGUAUUAUAAUGCAGCAGCAUGAAGAGUUGCCCAGCAAGAAAGCAUGUUGAGAGAUGCCAAGAAGAGUUAGGCCUUUUGUGUGUGUAAUGUGAGUUAAUUAAUAGUAUUGAACCAAUAAGUAAUUUCCCCCUUUCCCAUGUAGUAUAAAGUUUCCCAAAAAAAUAAAUUUAUCAAGAUUACUAUCUAUCCAUAAAUGAGAACUUCAUGGAUAUCCUUUAUUAAAGGGUGAAAAAACACUCCAAAAAUUCUACUGCCAACUUUUCAAAUACAAUUAAAUUUGAAUUA